GAUGAACGCUAGCGAUAGGCCUAACACAUGCAAGUCGAGGGGCAUCACAUGAAGUAGCAAUACGGAUGGUGGCGACCGGCGCACGGGUGAGUAACACGUAUGCAACCUGCCUUCAACAAGGGGAUAACCCGUUGAAAGACGGACUAAUACCCUAUAACACAGGGGUCCCGCAUGGGAAUAUUUGUUAAAGGACAACCGGUUGAAGAUGGGCAUGCGUUCCAUUAGCUAGUUGGCGGGGUAACGGCCCACCAAGGCAACGAUGGAUAGGGGAACUGAGAGGUUUAUCCCCCACACUGGUACUGAGACACGGACCAGACUCCUACGGGAGGCAGCAGUGAGGAAUAUUGGUCAAUGGACGCAAGUCUGAACCAGCCACGUCGCGUGAAGGAAGACGGCCCUACGGGUUGUAAACUCUUUUAUACGGGAAUAAAGUGCCCCACGCGUGGGUUUGCAUGUACCGUAUGAAUAAGGAUCG
rnacentral:rRNA from 1 species